rnacentral:rRNA from 1 species
CGCGGCCUAUCAGCUUGUUGGUGGGGUGAUGACCUACCAAGGCGACGACGGGUAGCCGGCCUGAGAGGGUGUCCGGCCACACUGGGACUGAGAUACGGCCCAGACUCCUACGGGAGGCAGCAGUGGGGAAUAUUGCACAAUGGGCGCAAGCCUGAUGCAGCGACGCCGCGUGGGGGAUGACGGCCUUCGGGUUGUAAACCUCUUUCACCAUCGGCGAAGCCCGUAGCUUUUGUUGUGGGUGACGGUAGGUGGAGAAGAAGCACCGGCCAACUACGUGCCAGCAGCCGCGGUAAUACGUAGGGUGCGAGCGUUGUCCGGAAUUACUGGGCGUAAAGAGCUCGUAGGUGGUUUGUCGCGUUGUCCGUGAAAUUCCCUGGCUUAACUGGGGGCGUGCGGGCGAUACGGGCAGACUGGAGUACUGCAGGGGAGACUGGAAUUCCUGGUGUAGCGGUGGAAUGCGCAGAUAUCAGGAGGAACACCGGUGGCGAAGGCGGGUCUCUGGGCAGUAACUGACGCUGAGGAGCGAAAGCGUGGGGAGCGAACAGGAUUAGAUACCCUGGUAGUCCACGCCGUAAACGGUGGGUACUAGGUGUGGGUUUCCUUCCUUGGGAUCCGUGCCGUAGCUAACGCAUUAAGUACCCCGCCUGGGGA